ACAGCAUGAUGUGGAUAUUUGUGGAUGAGAUCCUUAAAUCUUUCUCAUGUUUCAUUAAACAUCUCCCCAUCCAUUUGGGAAAAAUUGGUGAUGACUUUUCUAAUUU